UAGCAUUGUACAAUACUUGUUGUCAGCUAGAUGCAAAGUAUGCCAACUGAGAAUAACAGCAGGUGGCAUGAGAGAUUGUCAAAAUUAGCAUCACUGCAACAAAACAGGCAUAAAGUAGUAUCAGACUAUCAGAAGUGGUCCUACUCAUUGUUGAAGGAAUCAGACCUGAGAAGUAAAAACAUGUAUCCUGGCAAAAACAAAACAUCUGUUUCUCACAGUCUCACUCACUUAAGCUCAAUUUGAACUGUUCAAAGCAAAUUCUAGAGUACUACCUUCAUGCCUCAAGCAUCUUUGCUGAUGCAUGUAGUGUUGCUGCAGUGUGUCACAUGACAUGCAUGAAGUUAGAUCCAAAUCCCAAACUGUGAGCCAAAGAGCAAAGGCUGUUUCAUGGCAGUUAAAAGCAGAUGGGGUCACUGUAUAAACAGGGCUGACAAGGUAGUGCGAGAGAUCCAUUGCUUUGCUGCCACAAGCGUGACAUAAGUGAUGGGCCAAGGCUGAGCAGAGCCGUUUGCUCUACCAUCAGUACAAGGGAUAAACUACCGAAGUUUUAACCUCUUAUCCCACAUUUCUACGUUUCUGGGGCUUUGAUUCUUUGAAGAUUUCAGUUAAUAUCUUUAAACAUUAUGUUCUGAUUAAUUUCCAUUUUUGGAGUGAAUUCUGCUUUGUGUUGAUAAGAAUUCUGCGUUGUGUGGAUAAGAUGAGAUAAGACUAUUCCAAAAUAUCAAUCAAUAAUUGAUUGUUGAUUACAAGUUCUUAUCAGUAUAAUUCUAAUAAAUUGCUUUCAAAUUCUUCC